rnacentral:rRNA from 1 species
GUUGUAUAGUCAAGUAAUUAAGUGCAUGUGGUGGAUGCCUUGGCAGUCAGAGGCGAUGAAAGACGUGAUAGCCUGCGAAAAGCUCCGGGGAGGCGGCAAAUAUCCUUUGAUCCGGAGAUGUCUGAAUGGGGGAACCCACCUACUUUAAGGUAGGUAUUGCAACAUGAAUACAUAGUGUUGCAAGGCGAACGAGGGGAAGUGAAACAUCUCAGUACCCUUAGGAAAAGAAAUCAAUUGAGAUUCCCUCAGUAGCGGCGAGCGAACGGGGAUCAGCCCAUUAAGUUAUGUGUGUUUUAGUGGAACGCUCUGGGAAGUGCGAACGUAGAGGGUGAUAUUCCCGUACACGAAAGGGCACACAUAAUGAUGACGAGUAGGGCGAGGCACGUGAAACCUUGUCUGAAUAUGGGGGGACCAUCCUCCAAGGCUAAAUACUCCUGACUGACCGAUAGUGAACCAGUACCGUGAGGGAAAGGCGAAAAGAACCCCUGUGAGGGGAGUGAAAUAGAUCCUGAAACCGCAUGCAUACAAGCAGUGGGAGCACCUUCGUGGUGUGACUGCGUACCUUUUGUAUAAUGGGUCAGCGACUUAUAUUCAGUAGCNUUGAAGGUUGGGUAACACUAACUGGAGGACCGAACCCACUGUCGUUGAAAAGCCAGGGGAUGACUUGUGGAUAGGGGUGAAAGGCUAAUCAAGCCUGGUGAUAGCUGGUUCUCCCCGAAAGCUAUUUAGGUAGCGCCUCGGACGAAUACCAUAGGGGGUAGAGCACUGUUUCGGCUAGGGGGUCAUCCCGACUUACCAAACCGAUGCAAACUCCGAAUACCUAUGAGUACUAUCCGGGAGACAGACUGCGGGUGCUAACGUCCGUAGUCAAGAGGAAAACAAUCCAGACCGCCAGCUAAGGCCCCAAAAUCAUAGUUAAGUGGGAAACGAUGUGGGAAGGCAUAGACAGCUAGGAGGUUGGCUUAGAAGCAGCCACCCUUUAAAGAAAGCGUAAUAGCUCACUAGUCGAGUCGGCCUGCGCGGAAGAUGUAACGGGGCUAAAACUAUGUGCCGAAGCUGCGGAUGUAUACUUUGUAUACGUGGUAGGGGAGCGUUCUGUAAGCCGAUGAAGGUGUGUUGAGAAGCAUGCUGGAGGUAUCAGAAGUGCGAAUGCUGACGUGAGUAACGACAAAACGGGUGAAAAACCCGUUCGCCGAAAGACCAAGGGUUCCAGUCCAACGUUAANUGACAUUAGUCAAGUGGUAGGGGAGCGUUCUGUAAGCCGAUGAAGGUGUAUUGAGAAGUAUGCUGGAGGUAUCAGAAGUGCGAAUGCUGACGUGAGUAACGACAAAACGGGUGAAAAACCCGUUCGCCGAAAGACCAAGGGUUCCAGUCCAACGUUAANNNNNNNNNNNNNNNNNUCGGGGCUGGGUGAGUCGACCCCUAAGGCGAGGCCGAAAGGCGUAGUCGAUGGGAAAAUGGUUAAUAUUCCAUUACUUCUGUGUAAUGCGAUGAGAGGACGGAGAAGGCUAAAUCAGCCUGGCGUUGGUUGUCCAGGUGAAAGGAUGUAGGCAUGUAUCUUAGGCAAAUCCGGGGUACUCUAUGCUGAGAUCUGAUAGCAAGCUGUACUUGUACAGCGAAGUGGUUGAUGCCAUGCUUCCAGGAAAAGUCUCUAAGCUUCAGUUACACAGGAAUCGUACCCGAAACCGACACAGGUGGUCAGGUCGAGUAGACCAAGGCGCUUGAGAGAACUCUGCUGAAGGAACUAGGCAAAAUGGUACCGUAACUUCGGGAGAAGGUACGCUGUUGUUGGUGAUGGAACUCGCUUCCUGAGCUGACGACAGCCGCAGAAACCAGGCCGCUGCAACUGUUUAUUAAAAACAUAGCACUCUGCAAACACGAAAGUGGACGUAUAGGGUGUGAUGCCUGCCCGGUGCUGGAAGGUUAAUUGAUGGGGUUAGCGUAAGCGAAGCUCUUGAUCGAAGCCCCAGUAAACGGCGGCCGUAACUAUAACGGUCCUAAGGUAGCGAAAUUCCUUGUCGGGUAAGUUCCGACCUGCACGAAUGGCAUAAUGAUGGCGGCGCUGUCUCCAGCAGAGGCUCAGUGAAAUCGAAAUCGCUGUGAAGAUGCAGUGUACCCGCGGCUAGACGGAAAGACCCCGUGAACCUUUACUGCAGCUUGACACUGAACUUUGACCUUACUUGUGUAGGAUAGGUGGGAGGCUUUGAAGCUGGAACGCUAGUUCCAGUGGAGCCGUCCUUGAAAUACCACCCUGGUAAUGUUGAGGUUCUAACUCUGUCCCGUGAUCCGGGACGAGGACCGUGUCUGGUGGGUAGUUUGACUGGGGCGGUCUCCUCCUAAAGAGUAACGGAGGAGUACGAAGGUGCGCUCAGCGUGGUCGGAAAUCACGCGUAGAGUAUAAAGGCAAAAGCGCGCUUAACUGCGAGACCCACAAGUCGAGCAGGUACGAAAGUAGGUCUUAGUGAUCCGGUGGUUCUGUAUGGAAGGGCCAUCGCUCAACGGAUAAAAGGUACUCUGGGGAUAACAGGCUGAUACCGCCCAAGAGUUCAUAUCGACGGCGGUGUUUGGCACCUCGAUGUCGGCUCAUCUCAUCCUGGGGCUGAAGCAGGUCCCAAGGGUAUGGCUGUUCGCCAUUUAAAGAGGUACGCGAGCUGGGUUUAGAACGUCGUGAGACAGUUCGGUCCCUAUCUACCGUGGGCGCUGGAAAUUUGAGAGGAUCUGCUCCUAGUACGAGAGGACCAGAGUGGACGAACCUCUGGUGUACCGGUUGUGACGCCAGUCGCAUCGCCGGGUAGCUAUGUUCGGAAGGGAUAACCGCUGAAAGCAUCUAAGCGGGAAGCCUACCUCAAGAUAAGAUUUCCCUAGGACUUUAUGUCCUCUAAAGAGCCGUUCGAGACUAGGACGUUGAUAGGUUGGAUGUGGAAGCAUAGUGAUAUGUGAAGCUGACCAAUACUAAUUGCUCGUGAGGCUUGACUAUACAACACCCAAGCAGUUG